rnacentral:misc_RNA from 1 species
CGCCAUUACGAGAGAAACGCGGAGAUGAAGACAUUUGGCUGCCAAGGACGAAAUAAAGCUGUUGAUCAUACAAACCAUACAGGUUGAGGGAGACAACGCGAGGCGUGAACUCGCCACUUUCGCAUCUGCCUUCGCGUGGAGGAGACGGGGUGCGUACGGGGGCUGCUCGCGCGUUUUGUCUCUUCUGGGUUUUCUUCUCAAGCGUUGGAAAAAUUCACGCGUUGGGAUGAAUUUCUGGGUUCUUGAUUAAACGGGGCGAGUAUGGGUUGAUUUGGGACGAGAAAAGGGUCGGGUCGGG